UGUGAAAACUCAAUAAAGGUCGAUUUUCCACAUUUUUUGGCACCUCUGUCAUUACUAAAACGGCUCUAAUUAAAAAUCUACAACUCAUACACACUUCAAACCUGGACUAGAUUAUUCUGCUUUUCAAGCUGGAUGUUUAAAACCACCAUGUUUGGGAUUUGUGAAACCUUUUUCUGAUUUGUGAAAACUCAUUCGAUUUUCACCAUUUUUUGGCACCUCUUUCAUUACUAAAACUGCUGUUUUACUAAUUAAAUAUGUUGAUUUAAUGCAGGCGUCGAUAAAGGCAUUGGGGGGGAAAAAAUGGGACUAAWCAGGGGAGAGGCAGUGCAAAAAGUGGAGCAUAGCCAAAUGGAGGAGAGCGAAAGAGAAGCACUUCUGAUGCAGAUUAGAGCAGAAAUAGAGAGGCGUGCAAAGAACAACAAUUAAGGAAAAGCCAUGAAAUAAAACGUUUCCAAGUUUGAAGUU